rnacentral:rRNA from 1 species
CACAAGCGGUGGAUCAUGUUGUUUAAUUCGAUGAUACGCGAAGAACCUUACCAGGUCUUGACAUCCCCCGCCGAUGCUUUUAGAGAUAAAGCGGAGGUAUUCGGGGAGACAGGUGGUGCAUGGUUGUCGUCAGCUCGUGUCGUGAGAUGUUGGGUUAAGUCCCGCAACGAGCGCAACCCCUACUGCUAGUUACCAUCAUUAAGUUGGGGACUCUAGCGAGACUGCCAGUGAUAAACUGGAGGAAGGUGGGGAUGACGUCAAAUCAUCAUGCCCCUUAUGACCUGGGCUACAAACGUGAUACAAUGGCUGGAACAAAGGGAUGCGAAGCAGUGAUGUGGAGCGAAACCCAUAAAAACAGUCUCAGUUCGGAUUGAAGUCUGCAACUCGACUUCAUGAAGUCGGAAUCGCUAGUAAUCGCGGAUCAGAACGCCGCGGUGAAUACGUUCUCGGGGUUU